rnacentral:tRNA from 1 species
CGGACCGUAGCGCAGCCCGGUAGCGCGUCACCUUGGGGUGGUGGAGGUCGCUGGUUCAAAUCCAGUCGGUCCGA